AGCUCCCCAUUGUGUGGAGGAGGAGAUGAGGGUGAAGCUGGGGUGGGAGGAGAUGAUGCAGCUGACAGAGCACCUCCAGGACUGUCCUCUUUUACCUUCAGACCUCCUAGAACAGAGGCUGAGAGUCCCUGAGCCAUGAGCAGCUCCCGCAAAUGCUCCACCUCCUCCUUCAGCUCUCAGUCAACUCCCUGUUGAUUACACGAUGUAGAACUCUCAGCUCCAGCACCACAUUUGCCUGCAUGCUUCCAUGAUCCCCAUCAUGAUGAUCAUGGACUGAACCUCUGAAACUGGUCACCUUUCCUUGGAGUAGCAUUUGCUUUUAAAUGGCCUGAAAUUUAAGAAAGAUGGAAAAUAAGGACUGUAGAGAAGACUCACCCAUGAGGAGAACUUCCUGCUCUUCAAGAGGACCCCAGCUCUAUCUCCAUUGCCCACAUCUAGUGGUCACAACUACCUGUACCUCUAGCUCCAGAGGAUCCAAUUCCCUUUUCUGGCCUUCAGGACAUGUGUGUAUAUCAUGUAUUCACACAAACAUCCAAACACAUACAUGAAUAAAAGAAAAUCUUUUAAAAGCUCCAAAAGGUAGAAAUCA